AAUCGCCUCCACCAGCAGUCUUCACGCCAACCUCCUCCAGUUCGCCCGUCCUCACCCCUCCCCUCCCCCACAGUCCCUCUGGACCGCCGGCAACACGCUAGAGGGAGUAGGUCGCUGCUCCCCUCCCCAAUCCCCUCCACCCCCAAUCCCCCACACAUGCGGCCUGACCUCCUGGUUGUGGGCGAGUUCGGCAGCGCCGCCAUGGAGGUCGCGAGGUCGAGGGCGCCGCGUCCUGCCCCCAUUGAAGUUUCGGGCCAUCCAUCAACAAUUAGAUGUUGCCGGCAUGCGCCCCGACUCCAGGUCGCACCAGCCAGAGGUGUAUUGUGUUUGCUGCUCGGUCCAGAACGCUCUGCGGUCUCAUAUUCAGAACAUAACCUGAUCAACAUACAUCUGUACUCCAAAGGAAUGACCUCCAAGUACGAAUACUACAAGAUAGGCGAGAAGGGUUUCAACCUCAGGUUUCAGAUUUGUUUGUGGCCUUUAACAUUAUUCAGAAGGUAGUUAUUGUAGUCUUAGUGUGGUGGUUGUACGUAGCCAUGCCUACUUGUAGUCCAUUUCCAUGUCAGUUGUUAUACCUUGCUGGUGGGGCCGAAGCGCAAACAAAAAAGAGAGGAGAUGUGAGAUACUUUGGACUUUUCAUGCCAAGAACCAAAGAAAUUUUCUAAUUCAAGGGACUAUAGUUCAAUACCGGUAUUUCAUCUAUGAACUGAUUUACUGACGUCAAUUAUGUAUAUUUUGCUUUGCAGAAUUGCUUUCUUUUUAGUCUCUCACUUUUAACUUUGAUAAUGUAUUCUUAUCAUAGUAAUACUUAACAUAUGUACAAGGAACUCAUUAUGUUCAUGAAUAUUUAGCACCAAAUAAAUAUCGUAUAUGCAUAGUACGAAAAUCAUAUUGAUAAUGUAUCUGAGAUUUUAGUCCGUAUAUAGUAUUAUUGCAGGUGGAGAGUAGAUAUUGGUUAACCUGAAUCCGAACUUUUAUCUCGCUUUCCUUGGUAGGUUUACGUUAAGUAUGGAAACAACAGUUCAAAACCCAAGCCACGUAUCAGGUCCAUACUCCUGUUAUAGAAAUGGAGUCAAUGGGUAGACUUGAUAAGUUUGUUUCCAUGACUCUUAAUUCUGUUCUGAAUUUUAAAGCCUUACUUUUUCCCCAUAUAAUCUGAUGGAAGAUCAGGCUCUUUUAAUUUAAGUAUACAUAAUAUGCUCUUACUGGAGUCCUUCUAGACCUGAAAAAAUGGUCUAAAUUGGAAGUUUGAUUUAUAUGUAACUGAGGUGAAAUAUGUUCUUAUGGUUAGUCAUUGUUGAUUUCUUUAUUUUCCAUUUAAAAGAGGUGGAUUACACUUCUUUGAGAGUUAGUAGAUGACUCCCUAGGCACAAGCUUGUUUUGUUCCAGUUAACACAUUCUAAGAAAACGCAUCAGCUAAACAUAAACUCGAGGAAUAUAAGAAUUUAGGUGUUUCAUUGCAUAAGGUUUCUAUUGGCCUGUUUGUAAAAUGCUUACAACUUUUGUUGACUAUCUGUAAAAUUCUUACAACUUUUGUUGACUAUCUGUCCAUAACUUUGUUAGGGUUGAAUUCCAAAUCAAGUUAUUUUAAAAGCCUUCCGUGAAUUAUGCUUGGCUAGCUGUACUACAUGUCUACAUCACAAUAUUGCUUGCUCUGCUGAAGUACGAACUCUACACAAGAAAGCAGUAAGCAUCUAUUUUUCCGGUACCAUAACUAAGAGAGCAAGAAGAAAGUCUCUAGGGUUAUAUGAUAUCCAUUAUGACAUUUGUGUUGCUUUGCUGGGUAUAACUUAAUUAGUGCAUCCUUCCUCUUUUCUAUAAACUUAUUUCUUCAGAUCGACAUGGUUUAUUUUCAUAUCUGAUUUGAUGCACACAAGAACUAUGCCUAUGGUUUGUGCAGGAAGGGCCUGAAGUAGUUGCAAUUGAGUCACUUGACAUACAUGUGUACAAGUUUGAUCCCAGACGGUGGGGAGAUUUGGCGUGCUCAGUGGUGUGCCAUUGGAAAAGCUUCCUGGAGGUUUUAAUGCUAUGUGCAGACUUGGUCUUUUGACUUUCUAAAUUUGGACAAGGUUUUGUAGGUGAGUGAUUUUUGUGCCCUAUGGCUGGAAGCGUCCUGAUAAUGCACAAUGUGCUAAUACAAAUCAUUUGUUAAAAAAGCGCUAAACUCUUAAGUAGUUGCUUAGGGUUCGCUCAGCACUUAAACAGAUGCUUAGUUAUGCUUUUCUGAACAAUGAUUGAAAUAAACCUUAUUUUUUAUACAUCGUUUUCUCCUUUAUCUGAAGUUUCGUUCAUACAGUAUCUUUUUAUAUGUUGCCAUUGACUUUUGAUAUACAAGAAGUGCAGGCCAUUUUGCUUCCUUCAGAUCUCAAUACAGCCAGGAGACAUGUCACUGUCUGUGAUUGCAUAGCUGUGUAUGGAUUACAAAGAAAAUCAUUUUAUGCAUCCUGGCACCUAGCUUAUUGUACCGACUGUCUUCACAUGGUGAAACUUCCGCAAUCACUGAAGUCUUUAUAGUAGAAUUCUUUCAAGUUCAUGUUAUAGUGACGAGCAAAUACUGUAAAAUGCAUGUAUAUCUAGGUUAGAUAUUUUGUUAUCCAUAAAUUUAACUGAGCAUAGAAAGAACAUACUAGAACAGAGCAGUUUUUGUGUAAUACUGUCAUCUUGAAGUGAACUGAAUCUUUAGUGUCAAGGCCUAAUUGUUCGACAUUUAGUUAGUUGCACAUAAUAAUGCCAUUUAUGUCUCUUAGGAUACGUAAUUGCGGCCGCCUGAAACCUUGCUUCCCUUCUCUCAGUUUAUCACACUCCCUUAGCCACCUUGAUCUAGCUGAAACUGCUAAUUGGUUACAAAACUGCAAAUCCCUAAAGAGCACUAAGCUCCCAGGGUUGGGUGCAUCCAUGGGUGCUCUGCAAGUCCUUUUCGCGGGCCCCACCUCGUGCGCUUGCGUGUCACUGUGUUUCAGCGUCUAGGGUCGCAUGUAUGUGACGUGUUAGCCGGGAGAAUGCUCGCGAGGUCGGUUUUGAGAUGCUUUUGACAGGGGCUUUGGUCUUCCUGUGCCUUCCCUGUUCUUUUGUUGCAGCGGCGGGAUUCACUGAGAGUUGCGGCGGUGCGUGCGGAUUUGGGUGGCGGCUGUUCUUUCAGGCGGUCACUUCCAAGGAAAGAGUAAAAGGUAUUGUAUUGAAAUCCACUUAGACAUUGUAUUAACUAAUAAUUUUCCUAUCUUUUUGUGUUUUUUCUGCCACGCAUGCAUAAGCAUUUCUCACUUUCAGCUCUAUAUGAAAAGCUUGAAGGGAUAAUUCAUCCCAAUCAACUUGAUUAAAUUGAUCUACAUGAAAUUCUAAGCUUUUUUCGUAAAGGGGAAAAACCCCAGCCCCUGCAUCAAGAAACUCUUAAGGUGACAACGGCUUUGAUACUAUUUAUGUAAAACCUUUGAAUUAAAUAUUUGACUGUACAAAUUAAUUCCUUACUCACCACAGCUAGGAGCUUGCAGUUGAACAGAAUAGGAAUAUCCUGACGGUUAAACCAGCAUCUAUGCCAUCCUAUGUUUUAUGAGCAUGUAAUUAUUUUAUUUGAAAGUAAUAUUCAAACAUGCUUUCAUAGAUUAUGAUGUCCAUUGGGACGUGUGAAUGCUCUCAUCAUAGGAUAAUGAACUAACUGUUAUAUUUUUGGCUUUCGAUUUCAGAAAUUUUGUUGGAAUACAUUUUGUUUCAAAUCAUGUGCUUGCUAAAGCAAACACAGGCAUAAUUGUCAAGAAAUCAAGUAUUCAGUAUCCAUACAUUAAAAGGAUGUACCUUUUUUUUUUUUGCUAGAGUUGCUUACCUAAUGGUUCCUUGGAUAUGAAGGAUAGUAACAAGAACCUCAACUUUGUGUACACCCUUAGGACAAUCAAGUAUUUCGUAUCCUGAUCAUUUUUACUACAUUUUCCAUGGCUUGCCUUUGUAUCUCUUCUGACCUCAAGCUGGCGUCUUUCACCAGAGAAUCGGAGAAUACUCCUGUCCGGUAAGAACUAUAGCUUUCUCAAGUCAGAACAGGCCACCACUUUACAAAAUGAUGAGAACAGAUGAUCCACAAAUUGGGAUAUGUAAAAUCUACAUAAUAUUUAUGCUGGUAGUAUAUAAUUGUCGUGCAUUUCAGCAAGCUAGCUAUAAGAAAAUAUCGUCUGAACUCAUUAAAUACUACAGUUUUGCGUGCCCUGAAAUACUUUUCUUAGCUAUAUUUGUUUCUUGCUCUCCAUGUAUAGUUAUGGCCUUUGUGCUUAUUAGACAAUUUUAAUUCAGCUGAAAUUUCUGAUCAAUAUGUGAAGUUAGAUCAAACCCUCUGCAUAUACUAUGUGCAUCUGUAGCCACUGGUUUCAACGAUGUAUUUAAAUUAUUAUGUUCAUUUUAAAGUUUUAAACACUAAAAUUUUGUUAUGGUUAGCUUGUGGGAUGUUUGUGCCUAUAAUGUCUCAUUUUAUUACUGCGAUACUAUCUGGUUUUGGAGCCCAUGUUGUGUACAUUUACAGAUGCAAGGUGAGGAUUUUAUUAGUUGAAUAUGUUUUGAUCCCCCACUCCGAUAUUUUGUUUGUUGAUGAGUCAUCCGAAUACAGUGUUUACGUACUGUGGUAGACCUGAAUAUGUCGAUUGAUCCCGCAUGUCAUCUUUAGUUUUAGCUUUUGCUGGUUUCUUCCAUGUGCGUUGUGGGUGUGGUAGGAGGAAGUAUGUGUUUGUUGUGCAGGAAAUGAUGUGGUAUACUUUGAGCAUUAUCUGUUGUUCUUGCAAUCCUUUUAUAUGCAGAAAAAUAUACAAUCCUUUUAAGAUGUUUUCAGAAUAGAGCUCUUUGAGAAAUCAGGCCUACUUUUGUCCUAUUAAUCUACUCUUAUUCUAUUGAUGAUUUCUUCAAGAGUAGAGGGAAAUGUGAAGUAUCAUGUAUCCUUAGUUGUUUCAGAAUAGCAUGUGAACUGUUCUUAGCUGUUUCAGAAUAGCAUGUGUGAGGUAAUUAAGUUAUGCGAUAAUACCAUUUUGAGCUCAUGGUUCACCCACAUAUUACAUGCCACAGAAUCGCUUAUGCGUUAGUUCUUUAUACAAUAACCUGUAAUUUUGUUUCCUAUUUUUCUAUAAUUUGUUUCAGAUACCUUGGAAAUGUGGUUUGGAGCACAUUACAUAGAUCACUGCAAAUCCAUGUAUAGCUGAUACCUGUUUUUCUUGGCCAAAUAAAAUGAAAUGAAAAAUCGAUUUUUUUACCGUAUUGAGAUCAUCUUAGAAGAUGUUCCUCUAUUGCGCUCAACUAAUGCAAGCCUUCUAAAGGUGUUUUCCUCUCCCCGCAGGUGAACAACAAGGGUGCGAGGGGCUCUGAGGUCUGCGCGUGUGGACCUUAUAUAAUUACAUACACCAGGCACAGAGGCCUCUUGCUGCUUAUCAAAUCAUCGUUAUCUGGUAUAUAUGGAGGCCUUCCACCUAUACAUCAAACGCUAAUCAGGGGUCAAAUUGACGUCUUUGCAGUCAUCUGAUAGCAAAUGAAUAACAAUUGUUUUCUCUGUUGUUUUAGCUCAAGGACAUGACCAACUGUGGUUUACUUUUGGUAUAUGGUUAAUAACGAUUGGUUUGGUAAUACUGAUGUACCCGUUGUAAAUGCAAACAUGCUUUUUUAGACUAUCUUUUAUGCCAGAACAGAUACUUUUUUUA